rnacentral:rRNA from 1 species
UGAGGAAUAUUGGUCAAUGGACGCAAGUCUGAACCAGCCAUGUCGCGUGCAGGAUGACUGCCCUAUGGGUUGUAAACUGCUUUUGUACGGGAAGAAAACGUUCUACGUGUAGAACUUUGCCGGUACCGUACGAAUAAGGAUCGGCUAACUCCGUGCCAGCAGCCGCGGUAAUACGGAGGAUCCGAGCGUUAUCCGGAUUUAUUGGGUUUAAAGGGUGCGUAGGCGGGCUUUUAAGUCAGCGGUGAAAGUUUGCGGCUCAACCGUAAAAUUGCCGUUGAUACUGGAAGCCUUGAGUGCGGACGAGGUAAGCGGAAUGUGGUGUGUAGCGGUGAAAUGCUUAGAUAUGCCACAGAACACCGAUUGCGAAGGCAGCUUACCAGGGCGCAACUGACGCUGAUGC